rnacentral:rRNA from 1 species
GAUGAACGCUGGCGGCGUGCCUAAUACAUGCAAGUCGAGCGAAUGGAUUAAGAGCUUGCUCUUAUGAAGUUAGCGGCGGACGGGUGAGUAACACGUGAGUAACCUGCCCAUAAGACUGGGAUAACUCCGGGAAACAGGGGCUAAUACCGGAUAACAUUUUGAACCGCAUGGUUCGAAAUUGAAAGGCGGCUUAGGCUGUCACUUAUGGAUGGACCCGCGUCGCAUUAGCUAGUUGGUGAGGUAACGGCUCACCAAGGCAACGAUGCGUAGCCGACCUGGGAGGGUGAUCGGCCACACUGGGGCCGGGACACGGCCCAGACUCCUACGGGAGGCAGGAGUAGGGAAUCUUCCGCAAUGGACGAAAGUCUGACGGAGCAACGCCGCGUGAGUGAUGAAGGCUUUCGGGUCGUAAAACUCUGUUGUUAGGGAAGAACAAGUGCUAGUUGAAUAAGCUGGCACCUUGACGGUACCUAACCAGAAAGCCACGGCUAACUACGUGCCAGCAGCCGCGGUAA